UCGGAGCAUCACAUGGCAGGCAGAUCUCAAUAUGCAUAUUUACGGCUGGCUUGCAACCUCCGCUGCAUCCUUUCUGUGCAUGGUAACGAGGUGCUUUUCUUCUGCCAUGAGACCUACACGUGUCACGCUCGCUUGUGGCAUCGUCCUCAUUGCAGUUCCACGUGGAAGAGCAGAGCCUCCCAUGCCCAGACCCUCCUGCUUGGCCGCUGCCUGAGGAUGCGUGUCUUGCCAAGGUUUUGCCUUAAGCAGAGGAAGGAUGAAAAAUGCAGGGCCAGAGACUUUCUUACAGCUGAAAACCGCUGUCUGCUGCGCUGCUCCUCGGGACAGCACCGAGCAGGGAAACGCCUCCGCCACCCAGCAGUCAUUCUCUUCAUAGUGGGACAAGUGCAGAAUGGUGGAGGGGAAGCUCGGAUGGUGGUCCUGUCCAGGGAGACGCAGCCUCAUGUCUCCCACCCUCCUCCGCUUUGAUGACUGAACAUGUAGGACCGGUAAAACUCAAAUUUCAGAAGGGCUUUUUUUGAUAGUUAUAUAAAGGCAUCUAUUCCCGGAUAAGAUCUUCCAAGCAGAUCUUAUCUGGGAAUUAUUUUUGUGGUAGCAAUGGGGUGAUCAUCACAGAACCAUUAAGGCUGGAAAAGCCCUCUAAGUUCCUCAACGAAAAAAACUACUUCCAAUUGAGCCACCUGGACAGUGAUUUGCAGAUUGAAAACAAACAGAAUCUCAUGGUUAAAGAGGUUCCUGAACGGGGGCAGGUGCUGUUGCAUUGCUCUAGAUUCCACUUGGAGAGCUGAAGGAACCAAAGGCACUGACUCAGAGCGUCUCAGCAGGAUUGAUCCAAUACAGACUGAUGACUGGCGUCUACGUGGAGGGAAAAGCUGAAGUCCUGCUCACAAUGGGCAUGCAAUUGACACUGAAAUCUGCUGGACAGAGAAGGAAUGAAGCGUCCGCUCACAGCCCUGCAGUGGCACAGUGAUACUGAAGGCUUCUCAGGACUCGCUGUGCACUUUGCCUCCCGACCUCCUGUUUUGCUGCAGGACCCCACAGAGCACACCCCUGAAAUCAGCCUUGCACAUACAAGGAGUGAAACCAUGGAGGGGAAGGAGUGACCCCGUGAAGGAGUGGAGACGCCAGAGCUGCAGGGGAGAGGCUGCCUGGGAAGUCAGAUGAGGACAGAAGGCAUCAGCCUUUCCAGGAAAGAACCUGUCCUUGCACAUUUCCUCGUGUCUGGGCUUCAACAACGUGAUUGCGAGCACAUGAGAAGAAGAAAACACCCCCCAUUUUGCUGAGCCCCAGCAGGGUGAACAGAGGGAAAAGGUGCUUCAGGGCAGGAAGAAACUGUGAAGAAACAGGACACUGGGAGAUUUGCUGGAGCUCGCCCAUCUGACCCAAUCCUCCACAUGAGAUCUGGCAAGAUAAUCACUCCAAGCGUCUGGAAAGAAGCCCUUGCUUUCUCCACUGCACCUGAGGAACCAAUGGCAGAUGAUGGAGACAGAAUGGCUCACUGCUCUCAUGGCUGGAGAAGCGGUGGGAAGCUCUUGGCACCACAACCUCUGAGUUAAUGUACUCUGCUCUGCUCGCUGUGCCUCCUUGCUCCCAGCAUGGGCAUGGACUCCUGUUAUGCAGCAUGCCACAUUUUUUUCCUGCGGAAGACACCAAGAUUAGAUGAGAGGACGUGUUCGGCAGCAGAAGAGAAAGUCUCUGGCCAGCACACUUGAACUUUGGCCAGGCUGGCUUACCCAAGCAGUGAUUUUGGUCAACACACAACUUCUGUCCUGACCUUGCCAUCACAGAGGAAAAUGUCCAGUUAUGCAGCCUCCAGACUAAACCGCCACCAGCCCAAUGGAGACAACCUCAUCUGUGAGUGAACUGCAAGUUCGUUUGCCUUUCUUGGAGAUGAAAACCUCUCAGCAGCUCAUGAGAUCGCACAAGAAGGUCUGAAUCCCUCUGCAUGGGAGUGGGUAGUCCCUGUGCUGGCUGAUGUUCCAGUGGAAAGUAGAAGGGGGAUUCAGACAGAAGAGAAAUUCUAGAGGGGAGAAUAGAUGCAAGAAAUUCCUAGGAAUGUCACAGAAACCAACAACCCCCACUCCGCUCCUUCCAAACCAACCCACCUAAAAAAUGCCAUUUUGUGGGCUAUUUUGGAAAGGAGUCCAUGCCUGGGGAAUUUUUGGCUGAUGCUUAUGGCUUUUAGAAGUUUCUGGGAGAUCAGACGAAUAGAAACAGGAACCAGAUGGGACUUCUAGCUGCUGGAAAGAAAGGGAGAAAGAAAGGAAAAAAAAUAAUCCAUCCCUUGUUUAAAAUCUGAAGAGCACUUGUUCACUUUUGGGGAGUUUCCUCUUCACCCUGGUUUUCUUAUUUUAAAGUAAUUUAGCCCGGUUCCAUUAUAUUCUCAUAGGACGUUUCUCUCUUUUGUUGUUGUUGCUAGGAAUUUUUCUUUCUUUUGCAAUAAAAACCAGUUUAUUCUUAGGAGAAUUUAAGCCUUUGCCUUACUAGAUAAAAAGAAAGCCAGCUGUUGGUUUUGUUCUCACAGCAACCUCAACAUCCCUUGGCCAUUUACUCACUGAGUUUAUCUCUGUGUGGCUGCAAAAUACAAAAUAAGAUGGUGGUAGUGAAGAGUAGAGCAAAGUCAGAGAUGGCUCUGAGCUAGCAAAACUGAGUGUGCGUAAUUUCCAUUUUAUGUAGAUGACCAUAAAAGGGAAAGUUGCACUAUUCUGAAAUGUGAGGUGCACUCAAACAUGGACUGCAGAUGCCUGGUGCCCUCAAUGACCCAACCUGUCGAGUAAAGUGUUGGACUUGUAGAGUCCUGAUUGUUGGGUUUUGGGGGGUUAUGGAUCAACAAAAACCCCAGCCUGGUCCAGUCCCAGGCUCCGUUUUAUCAGACCUUGGCUCUGGAGCUGGUUCAUUUCUGGAAUAUAUCCCAGAGGCUGAAUAAGGGCCAAGGAGCAUUUUCCAGCUCCUGUGUCCAAGCUGGACUCCGUGCUGGGAGUCGCAGUCCAGCUGAGAUCUGACACCAUUCUGGAACUGCGCUCGGUUGUGCAUCAUCCCCGUAGUCUUUUCUUUCCGUACUGAUGGGCCAGAGGGAACCAGUGCCAUACAUCAUAUUGUGCCCCUACUCUACUCAGGAGAGUCAUGAGAUCUUAUUCCCUGGCUGGUGAGAAGAAUGGAAAAUAGAUAGCAGCUCAUAGGUGAAGGUGAUAAUUGGCUAUUACCGUAUUAAGAAGCUUUGCCAAUGAUCUUCUUUUAAGCAUUCUGCUUUUAAGGAACUCUUUUAGUGGUUAACAUAUCUUCCAAUUUUCCAGAUAUUUACUGCUUCCUGGAAAAAAAUGCACUCUUCCCAGGAUCCUAUCUUGUUUUACGGUCUUCCUCUCUUAACAUCAUCUCAUAUUAUUUCUCCUGCUCUCUAAUCUGCAGCCAUUCCCAAGACAGGGUCAUCAACACAAUGCAAUGGCCCUUGAUAAACUUUCACCCAUGGUUUGCGUGUCAGUAUGAGAGGAAAUCCGUCCUUGGGACUAAAUAAAUGUGUAUUUCUAGGGAUUGGAUGCUUCACAACCAACACUGAGAGUGUGCUGUGUGUUAUGAUGCUUACUAAUGGUGAUGCACAAAGUCAACAGUAGAUCUUUUAAGACACAAUAGUUGAUGUAAAUGUGCGUGCAUUUGAACACAUGGCUUUGGUUCCAAGGUUCGUCACAGACAGACCUAACUAAGCCAGCUGCUUGAACCCUCUGUUAUGGUGACCAAUUGAUUAGAUUAGUUUAAAUGAAAAAAAUGCCCCCAAAUGUAAAGCUUUGGUUUUGUACAUCCAAUUUGAGCUCCGACUUUGUGGCUUGCUUUUUUCUUUUAGCUCUAGCUGGUCAGGCAGGAUGUCCCAUAUUAGAAUGCUGCUCAGUUGUUGUUGUUCUUUGUGGUUCCAGUGAGCUGUUUUUUUUUCAGAAAUGUCUGGAAGGAAAGAGACAGAGGGGACUUGCUUCACAGGUUUUGUACAAAAGCUUUUAUUUUCCCUUUUUUCCCCCCUCCUUUUCACUUCUCAUGGAUCUGAUGUGCGAGUGCUCUCAGGAGCGACAUGCUCAGAUUCUAAAGCAAAGCGCUUAUCACAUGACUCAGGUGACUGCUGUUGCAGUUGAAGCAGUAUCAUCCUAGGAAUUUUGUUUGAAUUCAGCUGCCAGCUCAAACAAAAGUCAUCUGAGUAGGCAAGCUUUUACUGGUUUCACUUUGGCUUCCCACGUCGGUUUAAUUUGGCCCAUGUUUGCUCAAAAUGUCUCCAGCUGUCUAGAAACUUGUUCCUAGCGUUCUGGAACACUCACAACCCUUUUGGCCAGUGUGACCUUAGUUGUAAAGGCUGGAUGUUGUUUAUUUCAGAUCAUUUUUACUAGCUCUAUUAUACAUAAGGCAGCUCACAUAAUUGUAAGAGACAAAUGUGUUGGUUGCUGUCCUUCUGUUCACAGGUUCUAAGUUACUGUUGUCCACAAUGCUCAGGCAUGAGAUUUCCCAGAGAACACCACCUCGUUUUGUUCCAUGGGAGUUUUUGCUAAUAUUUUCUUUUAUAUUAUCACUCUCAUUGUUUCUCUGCUGGAAACUUUCCAUGCACUUCACAUGGAGGACCAAAGUGUCAGAAGAUUAAAGGAAUGUCUUUUUGCCCAACUAACAUGAACUGCACGCUGAACUAGGCACAACUAUGCACUACUCAGAAAAAGAAAUGCCUUCUAAAGAAGUAAGUGGCUGGAAGGAGGCAGUGAAAAUCCAUCAGAUUUGCAUGACUAAUUAGCUUAUCCACUAGUUAUUAUCCUUGUGUUUGCUUGCAAUGAGAAUCUUCAAAGAUUAUUCUAUAUUGGACAUAUAGCUGACUUUUUGCUUACACAAUUCUUUCUGUACCCACAUAUUGCUGUGAUGGCUGCUCUACUUCAGCAAAUGUAAUUUGCUCUUUAGAUCAGGUGCAAGUCAGGGAGGCCAUAAGAAGGAAGGAGAAAGACUCUUCAGCAGGGUCUGUUGUAAUAGGACAAGGGGAAAUGGUUUCAAAAUAAAUGAGGGGAGAUUUAGGCUGGAUGUAAGACGUUUUUUUACAAUUAGGGUAGUGAGCCAUAGGUAGCCCAGAGAGGUAUUGGGUGCCCCAUCCUUGGAGACAGCCAAGGUCAGGCUGGACAGACUCUGAGCACCUGAUGGAGCUGUGGGUAUCUCUGCUCAUUGCAGGGGAGUUGAAACAGCUGGCAUUUAAGGGUCCCUUCCAACUCAAACAAUUCUAUGAUCUUCCUUACUCAUAAAUGUUGAGAGGAUAUGUGUUGUUCUCUUUUUUUUCAAAAAAAAACUGAAUAUUACCUUUAAAUGACUCCUCAUGUUUCUAUAUAUCCUACAACUAAUUAAACUUACUGCUGGGGAAAGGAUUAAUUUUCAUGUGCUCAAAGCAGGGUGCAGGAAGCAUGUUACCUUGGUGUUCUGAAACGUGGCUGAAAAGUAAAAAUUUGAGGGUUUUUUGUUUUGUUUUGUUUUUGUUUUGAAGUGCCUGCUAGGUAGUUCUCUUAGAAAGGCUGGUAGAACUGAAAAAGAGGACUGAUGUAAUAAAACUGCCUUUUGACAAAUCAUUCCAAAGAGCUGAAUUCAGCACUGUUCUCUUUCUGAGCAUCGCAACCAAGCAGGGCUUCUAGGAAAUAUUAACCGUGUGUUGUCUGGAGCAUGAAGUGGUUGAUGCCUCAUCCCCAGAGACACCCAAGUUCAGGCUGGACAGUGUUCUGAGCACCUGAUGGAGCUGUUCCAUAGGCUGGCAUUUCACAACAAGGACAUCCCCAGAGCAGCUUGGGACCUCCACGGGGUGCAUCACCCGAAGAAAAUAGAGAAAUGAAGACGAAAAUGGGUCCGGCUUUGCCCUGGGGGAGCUUGGGACUACCGAUGGGCACAGAAGAUUCAGCUUGGAAGCCAAUGGUUUAAUCGAAGCAUUGCAUGGAAGGUCCGGUCCUUGGCUGAUUGAUGGCUUGCUUGCUGACAGCUGGAAUGGCUCAUUCUUUGGGGCAGAAACCCAGUGGCAGCACUCAGUGAAGCAAGUGUUGAAGUGUUGACCCUUCCUGAGCCCAGGCGCAUUGUUAAAGCGAACCCUUCGAAGCUCCUUGCAGGCGAGCACCACCAGCGCCCUUCGGUGAGCGCAGUGCAGCUCUUCCCUUUAUUUGAUCAGCUUCAAAUACCUAACAGUUCUGUAAGUAAACAUUUAUAGAUCAAAUCAAAAGCUCGCA
rnacentral:lncRNA from 1 species